rnacentral:rRNA from 1 species
AGAGAAGCAAAGCCGCGAGGUAGAGCAAAUCUCAAAAAAACAUCUCAGUUCAGACUGCAGGCUGCAACUCGCCUGCACGAAGUCGGAAUUGCUAGUAAUCGUAGGUCAGCAUACUACGGUGAAUACGUUCCCGGGCCUUGUACACACCGCCCGUCAAACCAUGAGAGUUGGCAACACCGAAGUCGGUAGUCUAACCGCAAGGAGGACGCCGCCGAAGGUGGGGUUGAUGAUUAGGGUUAAGUCGUAACAAGGUAUC